rnacentral:rRNA from 1 species
GUCUAUGGCCAUAUCACCCUGGAUGCACCUAAUCUCGUCUGAUUUCAGAAGCUAAGCAGGUUGGGCCUGGGUAGUACAUAGUACUUGGAUGGGAGAAAACCUUGUGAAUAACAGACU